rnacentral:rRNA from 1 species
AUUGAACGCUGGCGGCAGGCCUAACACAUUCAAGUCGAACGAGUGGCGGACGGGUGAGUAAUGUCUGGGCACCUGCCUGAUGGAGGGGGAUAACUACUAGAAACUGUAGCUAAUACCGCAUACCAUCAGAUGUGCCCAGAUGGGCUUAGCUAGUUGGUGGGGUAACGGCUCACCAAGGCGACGAUCCCUAGCUGGUCUGAGAGUAUGACCAGCCACACGGGAACGGAGACAAGGUCCAGACUCCUACGGGAGGCAGCAGUGGGGAAUAUUGCACAAUGGGCGCAAGCCUGAUGCAGCCAUGCCGCGUGUAUGAAGAAGGCCUUAGGGUUGUAAAGUACUUUCAGCGGGGAGGCGUUACCCGCAGAAGAAGCACCGGCUAACUCCGUGCCAGCAGCCGCGGUAAUAC